GCCAGGCAUGGUGGCAUGUGUCUGUAGUCCCAGCUACUCAGGAGGCUGAGGCAGAAGGAUCGCUUGAGCCCAGGCAUUUAGGGCUGCAGUGAGCAGUGAUCACACCACUGCACUCCAGCCUGGGUGACAGAGUGAGACCCUGUCUCUU
rnacentral:SRP_RNA from 1 species